UAGGGAAUCUUCCGCAAUGGACGCAAGUCUGACGGAGCAACGCCGCGUGAGUGAAGAAGGUUUUCGGAUCGUAAAACUCUGUUGUUAGAGAAGAACAAGUGCUAGAGUAACUGUUAGCGCCUUGACGGUAUCUAACCAGAAAGCCACGGCUAACUACGUGCCAGCAGCCGCGGUAAUACGUAGGUGGCAAGCGUUGUCCGGAUUUAUUGGGCGUAAAGCGAGCGCAGGCGGUUCCUUAAGUCUGAUGUGAAAGCCCCCGGCUCAACCGGGGAGGGUCAUUGGAAACUGGGGAACUUGAGUGCAGAAGAGGAGAGUGGAAUUCCAUGUGUAGCGGUGAAAUGCGUAGAUAUAUGGAGGAACACCAGUGGCGAAGGCGACUCUCUGGUCUGUAACUGACGCUGAGGCUCGAAAGCGUGGGUAGCAAACAGGAUUAGAUACCCUGGUAGUCCACGCCGUANCGAUGAGUGCUAAGUGUUGGAGGGUUUCCGCCCUUCAGUGCUGCAGUUAACGCAUUAAGCACUCCGCCUGGGGAGUACGACCGCAAGGUU
rnacentral:rRNA from 1 species